ensembl:lncRNA
CAGCUCUUUGCACACUCCCGUUUUCAACCCGCUGUCAUUGCAGGAGGACGGCAUCGGUGCUGCGAGGCUGCAGGGAGCGGUGGGACCCCACCUGUCCUGGGAUCAACACGGCGUGCAGGAAAAACCAGCUAUCACCUAUCCUGCUGGGAGCAGGUCCAUCCAGGGUUCAUCUCCGCAGGGAAAUGGAGCGUGAUGAAGACUGCCGCUUAUCUCAUUUGCUCCCCAUGAGAGGUGAUCGAUCCAUAAGUGUUUAAUGGUAGGCUCUCACCCGAGCUCUGUGUGCCCUUUGGGGGCUUCUCUGCCUUUCUGCCUUCUUCAGCCUUGCCUGCAGUGCUGCCUACCCAUGCUCGGGGCGUAGUGUGGUUCCUGGGCUGUGCUCUGUGCCACGUGGCUGCCCCGGGUCUCUUUAUGAGCCCUCCCCUCGCUGCAGUUUUCCUGCACUGCUGCUCUGCUUUUCCACGGGUCCUGGCUGUAUUUCGUGCCUGUGGGGCACUGCCAGCAGUGUGUGCUGUGCAGGGCUCUGGGUUCUGCCAUGGCCCAGCUGGGGCAGAGCAGGGCUGUGAGGCUCAGUGCAGCCCCCAGGCUGCGACUUGCAGCUCUCACCUCCAGCUCAUCCCUUGGUGGAGGCAAAUCUCCCCUAAAUGAGAUCCUUUUGAGCAUAACUCGUGUGUAGCACAGGGGAUAACUGCUCCGCUCGCGGCUCUGAAGGUUCCAUUUCAUAUUGCGUUUAAUGUCUCACCUGAAGACUUACGGACUUUAUGUGUGCAAUUCAUCCCGGCGCUUACAAAAAUUCCCCACAUCCACGCUCAGAUUCACUGCUGCUGCAGCCCUGCCCAGCUCUGAGUGCCAAGCAGGGCUGCUGCGAUUUGUGGGUCGCCAAAGGGGAUCUCAGGAUGCAGAAAUAAAUGUGCCCCGCUCGAUUAAUGGCGAGGAGCCCGCAGAGCCCUGGCAGCACUCAGCCCAGCCUGGCAUUGCAGGAUGGAUCCCUCCAAGAAAUUUUAAUUAACUUAAAACAAAUGCACAGGAAAGGGCCAGCCAUUAGCUGCUAUUGCUUCCCCAGUCUCAUCUCUGCUAAUUAAGCAGCGUGUCAGUGCAAACGACCUGCAGAUAGCAAAGCACCGAAUUUGCAUUUAAAUUAAAAACCAUAUAUAUAUUUUUUUAUAUAAAUAAAGGUUUCAUUACGCCC